UACGGAGGGUGCGAGCGUUGCUCGGAAUUAUUGGGCGUAAAGCGUACGCAGGCGGCUAUCCAAGUCGGGUGUGAAAGCCCGGGGCUCAACCCCGGAAAUGCGCCCGAGACUGAAUGGCUUGAGUGCGGGAGAGGGAAGCGGAAUUCCUGGUGUAGAGGUGAAAUUCGUAGAUAUCAGGGGGAACACCGGUGGCGAAAGCGGCUUCCUGGCCCGACACUGACGCUCAUGUACGAAAGCGUGGGGAGCAAACAGG
rnacentral:rRNA from 1 species